rnacentral:misc_RNA from 1 species
AUUUGUUGCUUUAAUGUCUCUUUCUGCUAGUGAGAAGGGUUUUCAUUUCCACUUGGCUUGAGCUUUGUCAGCGCUAUGCCCUGAAUUCCCUAUUGUAGAUUUUUCACUUGCUUGAUUGACUUCAUGCUAUUAUCCUAUCUUUAAUUUUAGCUGGUUUGUACCAAGAGUAUCUUUUUGGCACUACAUGUCUACAUGGCUUGUGAAAACGGCAAAUUUGCAUUAGGCCCCAAAAUUAUUCAUUACUGAGCAUGUUACAGGCG